UUAAGGAUAAUAUAAAUUUAUUAUAUUUCAUUUACACUGAAAAAAUAGCUAUGAUUGCUUCUUUAAA
rnacentral:tRNA from 1 species